GACGAACGCUGGCGGCGUGCUUAACACAUGCAAGUCGAACGGAAAGGCCCUGCUUUUGUGGGGUGCUCGAAUGGCGAACGGGUGAGUAACAAGUGAGUAACCUGCCCUUGACUUUGGGAUAACUUCAGGAAACUGGGGCUAAUACCGGAUAGGAGCUCCUGCUGCAUGGUGGGGGUUGGAAAGUUUCGGCGGUUGGGGAUGGACUCGCGGCUUAUCAGCUUGUUGGUGGGGUAGUGGCUUACCAAGGCUUUGACGGGUAGCCGGCCUGAGAGGGUGACCGGGCACAUUGGGACUGAGAUACGGCCCAGACGGCUACGGGAGGCAGCAGUGGGGAAUAUGGCACAAUGGGCGGAAGCCUGAUGCAGCAACGCCGCGUGCGGGAUGACGGCUUUCGGGUUGUAAACCGCUUUCGCCUGUGACGAAGCGUGAGUGACGGUAAUGGGUAAAGAAGCACCGGCUAACUACGUG
rnacentral:rRNA from 1 species